rnacentral:piRNA from 1 species
UGAAUUAACAUGUCAGUGGAUUAAUAAGUU